rnacentral:rRNA from 1 species
UACAGAGGUCUCAAGCGUUGUUCGGAUUCAUUGGGCGUAAAGGGUGCGUAGGUGGCGCGCUAAGUCAGGUGUGAAAUUUCGGAGCUCAACUCCGAAACUGCAUUUGAUACUGGCGUGCUUGAGGACUGGAGAGGAGACUGGAAUUUACGGUGUAGCAGUGAAAUGCGUAGAGAUCGUAAGGGAGACCAGUGGCGAAGGCGGGUCUCUGGACAGUUCCUGACACUGAGGCACGAAGGCCAGGGGAGCAAACGGG